GAGGGUCUAGCUCAUUGGUAGAGCGUGUGUUUAGCAUGCACGAGGUCCUGGGUUCAACCCCCAGUACCUCCC
rnacentral:tRNA from 1 species